GAUGAACGCUGGCGGCGUGCUUAAUACAUGCAAGUCGAACGAAUGAAUGUCUAGCUUGCUAGACUGAAGUUAGUGGCGAACGGGUGAGUAAUACAUAGGCAAUCUGCCCUGAAGUGUGGGAUAGCUAUUGGAAACGAUAAUUAAUACCGCAUAGGUAGUAAGAAGGCAUCUUCCUACUAUUAAAGAUGCGUCUGCAUCGCUGCAGGAUGAGCUUAUGGUGUAUUAGCUAGUUGGUGAGAUAAAAGCCCACCAAGGCUAUGAUACAUAGCUGGUCUGAGAGGAUGAACAGCCACAUUGGGACUGAGAUACGGCCCAGACUCCUACGGGAGGCAGCAGUCGGGAAUAUUGCACAAUGGAGGAAACUCUGAUGCAGUGACGCCGCGUAUAGGAAGAAGGUUUUCGGAUUGUAAACUAUUUUAGACAGGGAAGAAUAAAGACGGUACCUGUAGAAUAAGCCCCGGCUAACUACGU
rnacentral:rRNA from 1 species